AGUGGCAGACGGGUGAGUAACACGUGGGUAAUCUACCUCAGAGACUGGGAUAACGUUUGGAAACGAACGCUAAUACCGGAUGAUUCACAGAUACAAAAGUAACUGUGCUAAAAGGAGCUACGGCUUCACUUUGAGAUGAGCUUGCGGUGUAUUAGAUAGUUGGUGAGGUAACGGCCCACCAAGUCGACGAUCAGUAGCCGGUCUGAGAGGAUGAACGGCCACAUUGGGACUGAGAUACGGCCCAGACUCCUACGGGAGGCAGCAGUGGGGAAUAUUGGGCAAUGGGGGAAACCCUGACCCAGCAACGCCGCGUGAAGGAAGAAGGCCUUCGGGUUGUAAACUUCUUUUAGCAGGGACGAAGGACGUGACGGUACCUGCAGAAAAAGCAACGGCUAACUACGUGCCAGCAGCCGCGGUAAUACGUAGGUUGCAAGCGUUGUCCGGAUUUACUGGGUGUAAAGGGCGUGUAGGCGGAGAUGCAAGUCAGGAGUGAAAUCCCGGGGCUCAACCCCGGAACUGCUUUUGAAACUGUAUCCCUUGAGUGUCGGAGAGGCAAGCGGAAUUCCUAGUGUAGCGGUGAAAUGCGUAGAUAUUAGGAGGAACACCAGUGGCGAAGGCGGCUUGCUGGACGAUAACUGACGCUGAGGCGCGAAAGCGUGGGGAGCAAACAGGAUUAGAUACCCUGGUAGUCCACGCUGUAAACGAUGAAUACUAGGUGUGGGAGGACUGACCCCUUCCGUGCCGCAGUUAACACAAUAAGUAUUCCACCUGGGGAGUACGACCGCAAGGUUGAAACUCAAAGGAAUUGACGGGGGCCCGCACAAGCGGUGGAUUAUGUGGUUUAAUUCGACGCAACGCGAAGAACCUUACCAGGGCUUGACAUCCAACUAACGAAGUAGAGAUACAUUAGGUGCCCUUCGGGGAAAGUUGAGACAGGUGGUGCAUGGUUGUCGUCAGCUCGUGUCGUGAGAUGUUGGGUUAAGUCCCGCAACGAGCGCAACCCCUAUCUUUAGUAGCCAGCAUUUUGGAUGGGCACUCUGGAGAGACUGCCCGGGAUAACCGGGAGGAAGGUGGGGAUGACGUCAAAUUAUCAUGCCCCUUAUGAUCUGGGCUACACACGUGCUACAAUGGCAGUUACAAAGAGAAGCGAUCCUGCGAGGGGGAGCAAACCUCAAAAAGGCUGUCUCAGUUCGGAUUGUAGUCUGCAACUCGACUACAUGAAGCUGGAAUCGCUAGUAAUCGCGAAUCAGAAUGUCGCGGUGAAUACGUUCCCGGGUCGUGCACUCACCGCCCGUCA
rnacentral:rRNA from 1 species